UUCUCAAAUCUCUUCUUCUUCUAUGUCAACCCAGGUCCCAACAAUGGCGACCUAAUCUCCGAAAUUAUGUUCAGAAAAGUGAGUCAUUGAUUCUUUGACUAUCUUCUUCUAUUGAAUCUCUUGGAUUUGCCGAUCAACGCUCCUUCCUUGGGAUUCCAAAAUUUUUAAACGUCAUCUCCAAAUUCCCUUUCCUCAUCAUCAGCCUUAUUGGUCUCAUCCUCUGCUUUUACCCAGAAGAUUACUUCAGCUUUAGUUUGCGAGGUGAGAAAAUAGGAUGGACUUGCUUUUACAUCGGUGUGACUGCUGUUGCUUUUGGAUCGUCUUACUAUCAUCUUCACCCAAAUGAUGCUGCUCUCCUCUGGGAUCCUCUUCCCAUGACUAUUGCAUUGUUCCUUUGCUUCUUGCUGGUCUUGUUAGCAAUUUAUAUUGGAGGCAAGUCAAUCCUUAAACUAUCAAGUGGUUUUAGUGUUACAAUCUUGAGGCGGAGAAACCCAACUGCAAGACCAGAGGCAUUGUAUGGGGACUAACUUCGACGACUUUCUCAUUUUGGUAUUUGCAAAUUCACUAUUGCUCUUCGUCUAUCUUUACGGUAUUAUUUAGUAUAGUUCGUCUAAAGAUAAGAAUUUAUACAGAAGUAUGCGCAUAAGUUUAUCUGUACUUUCUUUUUAACAACUCAUAUUUUUCUCACAUUCUUUUCAAUA